GACGAACGCUGGCGGCGUGCCUAAUACAUGCAAGUUGAGCGCUGAAGGUUGGUACUUGUACCGACUGGAGGAGCAGCGAACGGGUGAGUAACGCGUGGGUAAUCUUCCUUUGAGCGGGGGACAACAUUUGGAAACGAAUGCUAAUACCGCAUAAAAACUUUAAACACAAGUUGUAAGUUUGAAAGAUGCCAUUGCCUCACUCAAAGAUGAUCCCGCGUUGUAUUAGCUAGUUGGUGAGGUAAAGGCUCACCAAGGGGAUGAUACAUAGCCGACCUGAGAGGGUGAACCGCCAACACGGGAACGGAAACAGGCCCAAAAUCCUCAGGGAGGCAGCAGUUGGGAAACUUCGGCCAAGGACGAAAGUCUGACCGAGCAACGCCGCGUGAGGGAAGAAGGUUCUCGGAUCGUAAAACUCUGUUGGUAGGGAAGAACGUUGGUGAGAGUGGAAAGCUCAUCAAGUGACGGUAACUAAACAGAAAGGGACGGCUAACUACGUG
rnacentral:rRNA from 1 species